GUUAAGAUGGCAGAGUCCGGUAAUUGCAAAAGACCUAAACCCUUUACACCAGAGGUUCAACUCCUCUUCUUAAC
rnacentral:tRNA from 1 species